rnacentral:lncRNA from 1 species
CACACUCGAGCAGUGGAAGUCCUGUAUUUCUUCAGGACAAACAAGUGCUUGCUCUGAAGGCACCUGAUGCUCCGUGGAUGCCACCACGUUCCGCAGCACCUUCAGGAAAGUGCUUCGGGAAAGCGCUACUGAUCCUCUUCAGGGAUGUGCUAAGGUGCAAUUAGAUGGGGAAUUGAGACCAAGAGCCGGGAAGCAGCUUGCUGGGGAUCCCACGGGAUGCUGGCAGCAGGGAGGUGCGCGUCUGUCUGCUGCUCCGACCGCCGAACCGUCCCGUCUCCUGCUUGCAGGCGCGAGAGUCUGCAGACGCCAUGGAUUAGAAAGUGCUGCUAAAGCAAGGGAGCAGCGACUAGACUCCGCUGCCAGACAUGCAAAAAUAAACACCAGACAAGAGGCAGUAUCAUGUAAAUGAGCUUUUUAAGGCUUCGGCUUUAAUAAUCUAAGGUGCUAUUUAGAAC